rnacentral:lncRNA from 1 species
GUGAUCCUGCAAGUAAAAUCCCCGCGCUGCAGCAUCGCGGAAAAUGGGAUUCGCAUAAUUUGAAAUUUGAGGAAAAUCUCUAAAUACUUUAAUUUUGAUAGAAACUAUUUCCACUGCUGACAUGUGUCUACACCUAUAAUUUCAGUUGAUAAAUUGCUGUAAUUUCUCCUCCAUUUCAUGUUCUUUCGAACAUUAAUUGUCAGUUGCAGGGAAGGAACUUCUAAACUGAAAGCUGGCAAGACUCAGCAGAAAAAAAAUAUCAAAAGCUGCUUCUGCCGCCCCAGCUUCACUCAGGCCCUGGCUGCUCCUUCACCGUUCUACACUGCUGCCUCCUAGAACCACUGAGUCUGCAACCAGGUCUGAUGCCUGGUGUGGACAUUCAGGGAUGAGGUCCCCUGGGGCUGAAUGAAUGAACAGAUUCUGAAAAGCAGAAGCUACGUCUGGGGGGUCUCUGGGCCACAAAUCGCUCUCUGACCUGCAGCCGUGAGGCGUGAGGCUCACUCGGAAGCUCCCAGAACCUGGAGGCUGCCCUCACUCAACACUUGAACAAGCUAGGAACCAGGUUCAAUGAAACACCUGCCCGCCCAGCACACCAGGCCCAAAAGCAAGCAAGCAAGCAAACAAACAAACAAACAAAAUCAAAUCAGGCCUUCACAACUCCCCAAAUCAUGUGUGAAUUUCUACAGAGCAGAAGCCAAAAAUAUAUGUUAUCUAACUGGGUCCUAUUUACAUAUAUUUUUAUGGCUGCUCUAAAAAAUUAUCACAAACAUAGUAGCUUUACCCCGUUACCCCUGAUGUGAUUAUUACACAUUGGAUGUCUGUAUCAAAAUAUCUCAUGGACCCCAUAAAUAGCGACACCCUCUAUGUACUCAUGACAAUUUUUUAAAAAAGAACACUUACACUUUC